rnacentral:rRNA from 1 species
UGCCUCUUGUAAACAUAUAAAAGGUAACUCCUGCCCCGUGAAAAAAAAAUUCAACGGCCGCGGUAUCCUAACCGUGCAAAGGUAGCAUAAUCACUUGUCUAUUAAUUGUAGACUCGAAUGAAAGGAUAAACGAAAUAAGAGCUGUCUCUGCUAGUUUUAUAUAAAUUAUAAUUUAGAUGAAGAUAUCUAAAUAUAAAUGAAGGACAAGAAGACCCUAUAGAGCUUUAUCCAAAAAAGAAAUAAAUCUCUUUAUAAGAUUCGGUUGGGGCGACCAAGGGAGAAUAAUCACCCUUCUAAAUAAGAUCUAUCAAUCUUUACUAUGACCCUUAUUCAAGAUCAUAAGAAUAAGCUACCUUAGGGAUAACAGGCUAAUCCCAUUUAAGAGUCCUUAUCUAUAAUGGGGGUUGGCACCUCGAUGUUGGCUUAGGGUAUCUUUAUGGCGCAAAAGUCAUAAAAAGAUGGUUUGUUCAACCUAUAAUUCCCU